CAGUCGCCGCGGUAAUACGUAGGUGGCAAGCGUUGUCCGGAAUUAUUGGGCGUAAAGGGCUCGCAGGCGGUUUCUUAAGUCUGAUGUGAAAGCCCCCGGCUCAACCGGGGAGGGUCAUUGGAAACUGGGAAACUUGAGUGCAGAAGAGGAGAGUGGAAUUCCACGUGUAGCGGUGAAAUGCAUAGAGAUGUGGAGGAACACCAGUGGCGAAGGCGACUCUCUGGUCUGUAACUGACGCUGAGGAGCGAAAGCGUGGGGAGCGAACAGGAUUAGAUACCCGCGUAGUCCCUGUCUUUAUACA
rnacentral:rRNA from 1 species